rfam:Canis lupus familiaris chromosome 5, whole genome shotgun sequence.
GUGCUCGCUUUGGCAGCACAUAUACUAAGAUUGGAAUGAUACAGAGAAGAUCAGCAUGGCCCCUGUGCAAGGACGACACACAAAUUUAUGAAGCAUUCCAUCCAGUC